rnacentral:rRNA from 1 species
UACAGAGGGGGCAAGCGUUGUUCGGAAUUACUGGGCGUAAAGGGCGCGUAGGCGGCCUGCUAAGUCGAACGUGAAAUCCCUGGGCUCAACCCAGGAACUGCGUCCGAUACUGGCAGGCUUGAAUCCGGGAGAGGGAUGUGGAAUUCCAGGUGUAGCGGUGAAAUGCGUAGAUAUCUGGAGGAACACCGGUGGCGAAGGCGGCAUCCUGGACCGGUAUUGACGCUGAUGCGCGAAAGCCAGGGGAGCAAACGGG